UCCCUAGUGGUCCAACGUUUAAGAUCCUGUACUUUCAAUGUAGGGGGCACAGGUUCAAUCCCUGGUUGGGGAA
rnacentral:tRNA from 1 species